UACGGGGGGGGCAAGCGUUGUUCGGAAUUACUGGGCGUAAAGGGCUCGUAGGCGGCCAACUAAGUCAGACGUGAAAUCCCUCGGCUUAACCGGGGAACUGCGUCUGAUACUGGUGGGCUUGAAUCCGGGAGAGGGAUGCGGAAUUCCAGGUGUAGCGGUGAAAUGCGUAGAUAUCUGGAGGAACACCGGUGGCGAAGGCGGCAUCCUGGACCGGCAUUGACGCUGAGGCGCGAAAGCUAGGGGAGCAAACGGG
rnacentral:rRNA from 1 species